GAAACACGGAAGCCAUCUAGUAAAACCAGUUUGCUCUCUGCGGAGAUAAAAGCAGAGUUUUGUUCUCAGAGUUAAAAAUUUUCUUCCCUGCAAAUAGACUCGUUUCUGCAGGCUGUUCUUCACCAGGACAGAGAAUCCCAGCUGAACCUGGAGGGAACCCUACUCUGACAUGUAGAGCUCCACCAAACUACAAAACGCCUUUUAAAUUGUAGGGUGGAGCAGACUUCACCAGGAGUCAGAAUAUAGUGUUGUGUUCCAAGAUGGGAAGACUGAUCCAGGCCACCAGCAUCCAUCUUUCCAGAACUGGGAGGAUCUUUAGGACAAACAGAUGAAAGAUGGAGACGUGUCUCUAAUGAAACAUAUCUUGUGUGAAUUAUCCUGUAAGAGAGGGGCUGUGUUGGACAGCCAUAGAUGGAAAUAAAAAUAUUCAUUCAUUCUAAGUCAGGGUUGUGGGGGCUGAAGUCUGUCCCACGAAGGAGCAGGUGAGAGGCAGGUACACCUAGACAGACCGCCAGUCCAUCUCAGGACCGUCGUCACAUCAUGAUGUUUAACAAAGUUAAGAUGCUCAGAAACACAAAUACAGUUUGCAGUGAAGAGAAACAUCUGGUCUCCAUCCAGGUCAACAGAUGUUUGCUCCUGGUGCAGCCAGGUCUCAGAAACCUGGUUUUCACCUGACUUAAACACUGUUCUGGUUUUGGUUUAUUAAUGGGCGGCUGUAGCUCAGGAGGAAGAGCAGUCAUCCUUCAACCGGAAGAUGACAUGCCUCUGGAGGCUGCUGGUGGAUCCAGGGCCUGGUGGCUGCUGGUGGAUCCUGAGCAUGAAGGCUGCUGAUGGAUCCUGGGCCUGGAGGCUGUUGGUGGAUCCUGAGCCUGGAGGCAGCUGGUGGAUCCUGAGCUUGGUGGCUGCUGGUGGAUCCAGGGCCUGGAGGCUGCUGGUGGAUCCUGAGCCUGGAGGCAGCUGGUGGAUCCUGAGCCUGGAGGCUGCUGGUGGAUCCUGAGUCUGGAGGCUGCUGGUGGAUCCUGAGCCUGGAGGCAGCUGGUGGAUCCUGAGCCUGGAGGCUGCUGGUGGAUCCUGAGUCUGGAGGCUGCUGGUGGAUCCUGGGCCUGGUGACUGCUGGUGGAUCCUGGGCCUGGAGGCAGCUGGUGGAUCCUGAGCUUGGUGGCUGCUGGUGGGUCCAGGGCCUGGAGGCUGCUGGUUUAACUGGAGUUUUUUUCCAGACCACCUGUUCAAAAACCAGCAAUAUUUGUGGUAAAUUUGAGAUGAAGAUUCCUCUUGAGACUAGUUUCUUUUCCCUGUAUGAAUAUCCAGAACCAGAACCCAGAGUAAAAAGCCUGAGCAGCGAUAACUUCCAAAAGACUGAGCGGGUGUUGUUCUGCAUGCUCUGUUAAACAACCUCUGAUCAGGCUCGUGUAAAUCAUGAGGUCACGUCUCAUGUGACAUGUGUAUAUUAUUGUAAACAGCAUCUAUGUUUUUUAGCAGAGCAUCAUUAUUUAAUCUGACUGUCAGAAACCAGCAUGAAGUCUUUCUCUGAGUCUCUGGAAAAACUCAGAGGACAAGGAGGGACACGCCUGUGGUUGCUAUGGUUACUAUCUUGCGAGGUCUCGUCACAUUGCUGGAAUCAUUCGAGCUGCUGGGAGUGGUUGACUCUUGCAGCAUGAGCCCUGACACAAGUUCCUCUCUUCAUGUUACUGUUGAACAUUUAUGAUGUCCGUUGUUAACAGCUAUCAGUCUGCUAUGCGUUCAUUAAAGCUAGACAACAACUUCACACAAUAACUUACAGAACAUGAUGCGAUAGGAUUACGUGACACAUUGAUUUGAUACAGACUUCCAGCAUUGAACUACCGAUCAGCUUCCUCUGCUACGAAGCAGCACCAACAGGAGCGACUCUAAUAAUGAGGAUUUAGUGUCGCUAUAAUACAGCUGUUAAUAAAUGAUGAGGCCAACUCCUGAAUGGGGUCCAUGAUUUGUGAGUGGGUGGGCCCACUGGGACCGGCCUGUCUGCUGAUGCUUCUACAACAUUCCUGAAGAACCUGUAAAAACCCAAACACAUCUCUGUUCAGGCAGCUUCUUGUAAAGGACGUGGUCACAGUCUUGUAUUACAUCUGCUGUUUUUUCAAACAGACCACGUGUCUCUGUGACCCAGCCUGAGGUGGAGUCUGUCUCCAACCAGCAGCUCCCAGUCUCUGUAGAAACUCUGCUGUGGGGAAAUCUCCCUCCUCUCAGUCUGAACCAGGACAUAGUUCCUACACAGACCAGAUCCUCCUGGAACUUUAUUCUCUGAAGUCUUCUUAUUUAUUUCUGCAUGUAAAGAAACAAUAAAACCAGAAUAAAUGAGUCAAACUGAUCACGGUUCACCUCCUGUCUGACUUUCUGCU